rnacentral:rRNA from 1 species
CCUACGGGAGGCAGCAGUGGGGAAUUUUGGACAAUGGGCGCAAGCCUGAUCCAGCAAUGCCGCGUGCAGGAUGAAGGCCUUCGGGUUGUAAACUGCUUUUGUGAACCGCGCGGUACCGUAAGAAUAAGCACCGGCUAACUACGUGCCAGCAGCCGCGGUAAUACGUAGGGUGCAAGCGUUAAUCGGAAUUACUGGGCGUAAAGCGUGCGCAGGCGGUGAUGUAAGACAGAUGUGAAAUCCCCGGGCUCAACCUGGGACCUGCAUUUGUGACUGCAUCGCUAGAGUACGGUAGAGGGGGAUGGAAUUCCGCGUGUAGCAGUGAAAUGCGUAGAUAUGCGGAGGAACACCGAUGGCGAAGGCAAUCCCCUGGCCGUACUGACGCUCAUGCACGAAAGCGGGGGAGCAAACAGGAUUAGAUACCUUGUAGUC